rnacentral:lncRNA from 1 species
CCAAAGGAGGCUGAUGAUGCUCCGGCUGAAGUAGCGGUUGAAACUAAAGAGGUUGUAGAAGUUGAAGAGGCCAAGACUGUGACAGAAGAGCCAACAGUAGAGAAAACUGAAGAAGAAGAAGAGACUCCUAAGGAAGAAACACCAGAGCCUGUGGUUGUUAAGGAGACUCCUAAAGAGGAACCAACAGCAGAGACCGUUGUUGAGGAGGCUCCCAAAGAGACAACCGAGGCUGCAACUGAAGCAGAAGCACCGGCACCGGAAUCCGCACCAGCAUCAGCAUCGGAAACUCCAGCUGAAGAAGAAGUUCCAAAGGAGGAAGAAGGUGAUGAAAAGAAAUCUGAAGCAGAAGUUGAAGCUGAGAAGACUGAGUAAUGAGAUAGCUCAGCAGGGUUUAAUUGGUUUUUGCAUGCCGUGCUGUAAUUUUCGUAUUGUUAGGUUGUGGUCUAAUAAGAGUUUUAUUUGAACCAAUGGGAACUCACCACAUGGCAGACAUGCAUUUGCAACAGUAUGGCGAUGUUUUGGGUA